UGUGGUCACAUCGCGUUGAAAACACCGGUUCACCGAAGUUAAGCUACAUAGAGCCUGGUCAGUAGCUAGAUGGAUGACCGCUUAGGAUUACUUGGGGCUGUAAG